CACCCAGUCUUCCACGUGUCGCAGCUGAAGCCGUUCACCCCCAACUACUCCCCAGUCUUCUCCGAGCUCCCCAAGAUUCCGGACCUCACAGCUCUGCAGUUCAGCCCCAUUGCCAUCCUGGAGUGCCUCUUGGUGAAGAAAGGAUCUGCGGGCGUCGUUCAUCUCCGAAUCCAGUGGUCCACCCUACCAACGGACGCAACCACUUGGGAGGACCAAGACGUUCUACGCCUCCGCUACCUUGACGUCGUCAUCUAGGACGAUGCUGCCGCUCAAGAGGGGGCAAAUGUCACGCCUGCUCCUCAAGUUCAGUUAAUUGAAUCAGAUGCAGCGUGA
rnacentral:rRNA from 1 species